rnacentral:rRNA from 1 species
AUUGAACGCUGGCGGCAUGCUUUACACAUGCAAGUCGAACGGCAGCGCGGGCUUCGGCCUGGCGGCGAGUGGCGAACGGGUGAGUAAUGCAUCGGAACGUGCCCAGUAGGGGGGGAUAGCCCGGCGAAAGCCGGAGUAAUACCGCAUACGACCAGAGGGUGAAAGCGGGGGACCGAAAGGCCGCGCGCGAUUGGAGGGGCCGAUGUCGGAUUAGCUAGUUGGUGGGGUAAAGGCUUACCAAGGCGACGAUCCGUAGCUGGUCUGAGAGGACGACCAGCCACACUGGGACUGAGACACGGCCCAGACUCCUACGGGAGGCAGCAGUGGGGAAUUUUGGACAGUGGGGGCAACCCUGAUCCAGCCAUGCCGCGUGCGGGAAGAAGGCCUUCGGGUUGUAAACCGCUUUUGUUCGGGAAGAACUCCUCUGGGCUAAUACCCCGGGGGGAUGACGGUACCGGAAGAAUAAGCACCGGCUAACUACGUG